AUUGAACGCUGGCGGCAUGCCUUACACAUGCAAGUCGAACGGCAGCACGGGUGCUUGCACCUGGUGGCGAGUGGCGAACGGGUGAGUAAUACAUCGGAACAUGUCCUGUAGUGGGGGAUAGCCCGGCGAAAGCCGGAUUAAUACCGCAUACGAUCUACGGAUGAAAGCGGGGGACCUUCGGGCCUCGCGCUAUAGGGUUGGCCGAUGGCUGAUUAGCUAGUUGGUGGGGUAAAGGCCUACCAAGGCGACGAUCAGUAGCUGGUCUGAGAGGACGACCAGCCACACUGGGACUGAGACACGGCCCAGACUCCUACGGGAGGCAGCAGUGGGGAAUUUUGGACAAUGGGCGAAAGCCUGAUCCAGCAAUGCCGCGUGUGUGAAGAAGGCCUUCGGGUUGUAAAGCACUUUUGUCCGGAAAGAAAUCCUUGGCCCUAAUACGGUCGGGGGAUGACGGUACCGGAAGAAUAAGCACCGGCUUACUACGUG
rnacentral:rRNA from 1 species